UACGAAGGGGGCUAGCGUUGUUCGGAAUUACUGGGCGUAAAGCGUGCGCAGGCGGCUAUCCAAGUCAGUGGUGAAAGCCCGGAGCUCAACUCCGGAAUUGCCAUUGAAACUGUUUAGCUCGAGUACGAGAGAGGUGAGUGGAAUUCCCAGUGUAGAGGCGAAAUUCGUAGAUAUUGGGAAGAACACCGGUGGCGAAGGCGGCUCACUGGCUCGUAACUGACGCUCAUGCACGACAGCGUGGGGAUCAAACAGG
rnacentral:rRNA from 1 species